UCGGAUAUGGUGUAACGGCCAACAUUGCCGCCUCUCAUUCAGUGAAGUGCGCGGCAGCUCGGGGUUCGAUUCCCCGUAUCCGAA
rfam:Schizophyllum commune H4-8 unplaced genomic scaffold SCHCOscaffold_1, whole genome shotgun sequence.